rnacentral:misc_RNA from 1 species
UUAAGUUCAGCGGGUAGUCCUACCUGAUUUGAGGUCAAGUUUGUCAAAGAGCAUAGGGCGGUUGGAAGCAGCACAUUUUUACGCGGCAUACCCAAAGGCAUAGAUGAAUGUUAUCAACACCUAGCGGUUUCCGCUCCAGAUACCACUGAUGAUUUUCAAGGGAGCAGGCUUUCUGAUCAAAAGCCUGCAAAAGCCCUCAA